rnacentral:rRNA from 1 species
CCUACGGGAGGCAGCAGUAAGGAAUAUUGGUCAAUGGAGGCAACUCUGAACCAGCCAUGCCGCGUGCAGGAAGAAGGCCCUAUGGGUCGUAAACUGCUUUUGUACCAGAGAAAACCCGAGUACGUGUACUCGGUUGAUAGUAUGGUAAGAAUAAGCAUCGGCUAACUUCGUGCCAGCAGCCGCGGUAAGACGAAGGAUGCAAGCGUUAUCCGGAUUCAUUGGGUUUAAAGGGUGCGUAGGCGGACUGAUAAGUCAGUGGUGAAAUCUCUCGGCUUAAACCGAGAAACUGCCAUUGAUACUGUUAGUCUAGAGUAUAGAUGACGUUGGCGGAAUAUGACAUGUAGUGGUGAAAUACUUAGAUAUGUCAUAGAACACCGAUUGCGAAGGCAGCUAACGAAACUAUAACUGACGCUGAGGCACGAAAGUGCGGGGAUCAAACAGGAUUAGAUACCCUGGUAGUCCGCACCGUAAACGAUGAUUACUCGUUGUUGGCAAUAUGACCGUCAGCGACGACGACGAAGACGAGUAAGUAAUACCACCGUACGGGUAGGUACGGCCGGCCGACCGGUACGAAACGUUAAACGUAAGUAAGUACGUACGUCGUAGAGACGACGACGACGACGACGACGGAGGGAGGAGG